UUCCCAGUGGCUCAGAUGGCAGAGAAUCAGCCUGCUAUGCAGAAGACCAGGGUUUGAUUCCUGGUUGGGAAG
rnacentral:tRNA from 1 species